GUUAUAGGAUCAAGCGAAUAAGUGCAUAUGAUGGAUGCCUUGGCGAUCACAGGCGAUGAAGGACGCGGUAGCCUGCGAAAAGCUACGGGGAGCUGGCAAACAAGCUUUGAUCCGUAGAUGUCCGAAUGGGGAAACCCACCGUAGUAAUACGGUAUCCCAUGCUGAAUACAUAGGCAUGUGGAGGCGAACCGAGUGAACUGAACCAUCUCAGUAACUCGAGGAAAAGAAAUCAACCGAGAUUCCGGAAGUAGUGGCGAGCGAAACCGGACCAGCCUGGAUGUUUUAGCGUAGUGAAUAGUCGAAUGGAAUGGAAAGUCCAGCCGUAGCAGGUGAUAGCCCUGUAGGCGAAAUUCAGUACGUGGAACUAAGCAUCGAACAAGUAGGGCGGGACACGUGAAAUCCUGUCUGAAUAUGGGGACCAUCCUCCAAGGCUAAAUACUCGUGAUCGACCGAUAGUGAACCAGUACCGUGAGGGAAAGGCGAAAAGAACCCGGAAGGGGUGAAAUAGAUCCUGAAAUCGUAUGCAUACAAACAGUAGGAGCACCUUCGUGGUGUGACUGCGUACCUUUUGUAUAAUGGGUCAGCGACUUACAUUCAGUGGCAAGCUUAACCGAAUAGGGGAGGCGUAGCGAAAGCGAGUCCGAAUAGGGCGAUUCAGUCGCUGGGUGUAGACCCGAAACCAGGCGAUCUAUCCAUGGCCAGGUUGAAGGCACGGUAACACGUGCUGGAGGACCGAACCCACUAAUGUUGAAAAAUUAGGGGAUGAGCUGUGGAUCGGAGUGAAAGGCUAAACAAGCCUGGAGAUAGCUGGUUCUCUCCGAAAACUAUUUAGGUAGUGCCUCGUAUAUUACUGCCGGGGGGUAGAGCACUGUUAUGGCUAGGGGGGUCACAGCGACUUACCAACCCAUGGCAAACUCCGAAUACCGGCAAGUACAGUACGGGAGACAGAGCACCGGGUGCUAACGUCCGGACUCAAGAGGGAAACAACCCAGACCGCCAGCUAAGGUCCCUAACUAUGGCUAAGUGGGAAACGAAGUGGGAAGGCAUAGACAGUCAGGAGGUUGGCUUAGAAGCAGCCAUCCUUUAAAGAAAGCGUAAUAGCUCACUGAUCGAGUCGUCCUGCGCGGAAGAUGUAACGGGGCUAAGCCAUAGACCGAAGCUGCGGAUGUGUACUUUUAGUACACAUGGUAGGAGAGCGUUCCGUAAGCCUGUGAAGGUGUUCCGUGAGGAAUGCUGGAGGUAUCGGAAGUGAGAAUGCUGACAUGAGUAGCGAUAAAGGGGGGUGAAAAGCCCCCUCGCCGUAAGUCCAAGGUUUCCUGCGCAACGUUCAUCGGCGCAGGGUGAGUCGGCCCCUAAGGCGAGGCAGAGAUGCGUAGCUGAUGGGAAGCGGGUUAAUAUUCCCGCACCGUCGUAGAGUGCGAUGGGGGGGACGGAUUGCAGAAUGUUAUCGGGGUGUUGGAUGUCCCCGUUGGCGCAUCAUAGAAGGCACUUAGGCAAAUCCGGGUGCGUAAUUCAAGGGUGUGACUGGAUAGAGCUUCGGCUCUAAACUAACUGGAAGCAGUUCCAAGAAAAGCCUCUAAGCUUCAGCUCUACGAGACCGUACCGCAAACCGACACAGGUGGACGGGAUGAAUAUUCCAAGGCGCUUGAGAGAACUCAGGAGAAGGAACUCGGCAAAUUAAUACCGUAACUUCGGGAGAAGGUAUGCCUCAUUAGUGUGAUGUGCCUGCGCACAAAGCAUGAAGAGGCCGCAGUGAAUCGGUGGCUGCGACUGUUUACUAAAAACACAGCACUCUGCAAACACGAAAGUGGACGUAUAGGGUGUGACGCCUGCCCGGUGCCGGAAGGUUAAGUGAUGGGGUGCAAGCUCUUGAUCGAAGCCCCGGUAAACGGCGGCCGUAACUAUAACGGUCCUAAGGUAGCGAAAUUCCUUGUCGGGUAAGUUCCGACCUGCACGAAUGGCGUAACGAUGGCCACACUGUCUCCUCCUGAGACUCAGCGAAGUUGACAUGGUUGUGAUGAUGCAAUCUCCCCGCGGCUAGACGGAAAGACCCCAUGAACCUUUACUGUAGCUUUGCAUUGGAUUGUGAACCGGCCUGUGUAGGAUAGGUGGGAGACGUUGAAGCGUGGUCGCCAGAUCGCGUGGAGUCAUCCUUGAAAUACCACCCUGGUCUGUUUGCGGUUCUAACCUAGGUCCCUUAUCGGGAUCGGGGACCGUGCAUGGUGGGCAGUUUGACUGGGGCGGUCUCCUCCUAAAGUGUAACGGAGGAGUUCGAAGGUACGCUAGAGACGGUCGGAAAUCGUCUUGAUAGUGCAAUGGCAUAAGCGUGCUUGACUGUGAGACUGACAAGUCGAACAGGUACGAAAGUAGGACAUAGUGAUCCGGUGGUUCUGUAUGGAAGGGCCAUCGCUCAACGGAUAAAAGGUACUCUGGGGAUAACAGGCUGAUACCGCCCAAGAGUUCAUAUCGACGGCGGUGUUUGGCACCUCGAUGUCGGCUCAUCUCAUCCUGGGGCUGUAGCCGGUCCCAAGGGUAUGGCUGUUCGCCAUUUAAAGAGGUACGUGAGCUGGGUUUAAAACGUCGUGAGACAGUUUGGUCCCUAUCUGCCGUGGGCGUUGGAUAUUUGACGGAGCCUGCUCCUAGUACGAGAGGACCGGAGUGGACGUACCACUGGUGUAUCGGUUGUCAUGCCAAUGGCAUUGCCGAGUAGCUACGUACGGAAGAGAUAACCGCUGAAGGCAUCUAAGCGGGAAACUCGUCUGAAGAUUAGAUAUCCCGGAGGCUUGACCUCCCUGUAGGGUCGUCCGAGACCAGGACGUUGAUAGGCUGGGUGUGGAAGUGCAGUAAUGCAUGUAGCUAACCAGUACUAAUUGCCCGUGUGGCUUGAUCCUAUAACCCUUGAGGUUGUA
rnacentral:rRNA from 1 species